CCUCCAAAAGACGAGAAGCCCUCCUCACCUCAGCGGAAAAACUUCCUACUCCUAGGGUUUCCUUCCUCCCUUUAUAUACCAUCCCUAUGAAAGAAAGAAACGUGAAAAAUCCCUUCACCUCCUUCCCUUCCGCAUCGGCCGGGAUCUCGACCUCCGCCGCCGCCGCCGCCGCAGCAACAUCUUCGGAACCAGCACUAAUCCAGGAAAACGAAAGGCGAGGAUGGCGGAGCCGCGUAAGGAAGAGGGUCGGGAGCAGCACCUUUACCUUUUGUUUGAUGACUGGGACUCUGGAUACAGCAUCCGCAAGGUGAGCUUGUCGCGCAGAUCAGACAAACGUGCUAAGGAGCCCUUAUCGUCCGGCUCAGACAAACAAGGCGUUGAGCCCCUGCCUCAAGUUUUCAUGCACAUCCAGGCGCGACGUGGGUUACCCCACUUGUUCACUUCUGCCUUUGACGCUAAGAUCAUGGUGAUGCAUCCCUUCAAGAUUGAUGAAACCAAGGGCAUCCCAAUGAUCGACGUCCAGAAACAGGCCUUAACCUUUGGACCUCUGCCCCGCAGCGCUAAUUUCCUUCCAAUCUACCUCCCCGUCGGCUGCAAUAGGCUAUUCAUUCUGGACAUUGGCAGUUUUGAUUGCUACCUCUGGGCGCCGGAACAUAGUGAAGAACCGUGGGAGUGGCAGAUCCUCCCUUAUCCGCCAUUCCGUAGGGCCGAUGUCUCCUCCUAUGGCGUGCACCCCGAUGGAUACAUCCUCGUCAGUACUAUUGGUGACGCACGCACCUUCAUCUUGGACACCACCAAGGAGGAUUAUGUGUGGAAACCAUACAGUAGUUCGGUGUUGCCCUUCUCCGGCCGUGGCCACUAUGACACCUCCCUGGGGGGCUUUGUCGGUCUCUCCAGAGAUGGGUACCUCUGCUGCCGCACCAUGGCUGCCAGCACCACCGGGACUAACCCUCACGACAAGCGCACCAAUGUCAAGGUGUACACUGAGAGGCAGCAUGUAAGUGCCACCCUUGUGCACAUACACCCGCGCAAAUUCUGCCUUGUGGAGUGUGUCUCUGUUGACAGCAGAAGGACUGGUCAGGACCUCAGGGAGUCAUGGGCUCGUGAGUUCAAGAUGCCGCUGGGGUCAAGGCCUUGGUUUUGUGUGGGCGGCGGGCCACAAGGCGGCCGCUGUAUGUAUCAUAUCAAGACCUUCACCCUCACUUAUGACUCUGAAGCAGACUGUUUGAAGCUUAAAAACUGCAAGGGUCAGGGUUGUUGCUACAGCCUGCCUCAUGAAGCAAGGAUUGGUUCCGUCUGUAUGGAUCCCGUGGCAUUUUGGCUGUGAAAUGCUAAAGUCAUGAGAAGAGCUGCUAUGUUUUCAUUCAGGUCGCAUCCGUGUCUCGCCAAGCAGCCUGGUUAAAUUUUCUAAUCGCUUUCCUGUUGGUAAUUGAAGGAGUUAGCAUUCUAUCAAUGAUCGACUUGCAUGGAAUGAUGAGAAACAAAAUGAACUGACAAUAAAAAUUUCCAAGUAGAACGGGCACUCUUCUCUACAGUGCUUGCUUGUUAAGGGAUGGAAAGGUGAGGCCAGCUGGAGCUUUCCUUGUGGAAAGUGGAAUAAAGAUGAGGAAGAUCACACAUCUGCCAUUAGAGAAGUAAACUUCUGCUUGUAUCAUGCUUAGUUUAUUUUCCUUUCUGAGUGCACGCUGUAAUUUCUUUGAAGCAUAUUAUACUUGCAGCAAUGAAAUAUAUAUUCUAGAUUGGCAAAAUAGUUCUUUAGAGGAGUUCUGGAACUCCUGAUAUGAAUUUGUUUUUUAGCGGUGAAAAUAUGUGGUCAGGUGAUUUCAGCUAAGUUGAGAGGGUGUUUACCCCUACUGGUUUUACCUGAUAAGAAUGACUUCAGAUAAACAAUCAAUAGUUUACAAACCUGUAGGUUUGGAGGCCAUAGUAUAAUCACAAGUCUUAACUUUGGGCACACGACCACAUAAAAAAAGAAUAAGUUCUGUCUUAACUUUGGGCAGCGUUUCUGACAAAUGACUUUCUACUAUCUGUGUUCUUUCAGUAAAAAAUCUGUUACAUUCAAGAUUUUGUUUCCCCAAAUCUAUGUCAAAAGAGAGCUCUUGAGCUGAUUUUGUUAGUGCUCAUGGAUUUGCAAGCCCCAAUAUUUGUUUUUUAAUAUCAAUAGCAGUUUACUAUUGGUUUCUUGGAAUUUCUUUUCCACAUUGCUAUAUGUGAUAUUGAGAGAUCCAAGGCGCCUCUAUGUACCUGGUAGGCUUUACCACAUUGUUAAAAGGAAACCUUUCAGGAAUGAAUAUACAACAUGUACGUAAUGCUUGCUAUUUGGCAUGAAUCUUAAUGUAUCUCACUAUUUUCUUUAUUUUUAAAAUAUAUUAUGUUUUUUAUUUUACCGUAGCGUUAGCACAGGCAAUAUACUAAAUUAGAUGGCUGCAGCAGGCUUUGGUUUUGUUCAGUAUUAGCUCUUCAAGCCUUUCAACACUUUGGAUGUCAGGUCUUUGUUCUCUUACCAAAGUGGAACUAAUAAGUAUGAUGUCAGUCUUGGUGGCCACAUUAUUUUUGUUGGCACCAUAGUUGCAUUGCUCCGAACUCACAAAAGUACUGGCCUAAAUGAGGGUAAUUUUGCUGUUGUGAUGCUAUUCUGCAGUUGUUUCCACACUGACCUUUAGCUGCAAUGCGACACUGCAGGUAACGACAGUGUAUAGGUGUCAAGUGUAAGUGUUGACUAACAAGGAAGAAGAAGGAAGCAACCUUGAGGCUUCAACCUUGAAGCAACCUUUAAACUAUUUGUGUUGCAAUUUGACUUCCAUUUUGGGGUCUCCUACAUGGAUAUUUGUUUUACAUUUUCAAAUGCCCUCACACUCACCCACCCAAAAAAGGUUACGAUCUGAUUUUUUCAGUUGAUUUUGAACAGGUAGCAAAACCUGAGCUGGCACUAAUGACAUAUUCGUAUUCUUUGAUGUUGAGCCUGUUGAGUGUGCUUCUAUUGUACAGGUGCAUCGAGCAAAGCUUAAAUUAUCAAAGACAGACGUUGCCGGCAGGAAAUAUGAAAUCAAGGACUUCAAACAUGAGGACAAUGGCGCUGCAACAAAUUUUCAAAUGUAUAUGUACUUCAGUAUAUGGCGCCUGGAACCAAAUCUAAAAUAUACAAGCUACUGAACCACUAACUACGUGAAAGCAAGAUAAUGUAGCCGGAUGGAAGUCAAACUCAGAUUGACUGUAAUUCCUACCAGUAAUUCCUAGAAGACAUGGAGAUAAAGCAGAUGAUCAAAGUGGAAACCCAUAAUGUAUUCAUGUUAGGGGUAUAGAUGAAUGGAUCUGUGUUGAAUGCACCUUGGUUGCGAAGCACCAAGAGAUGGGUGCUAGCUAACAAUCCUAUAUAUGCUCGGAUGGAUUUUUCUGUCUUUUUUUCCUUGGUAAAUUUGGAAUUUAAACUGAUGUAAAUACUAAUUUAUCUCACUUCCAUUACCAGAGAUUAUGUGAAUUAUUUAUUUUGUAAGGUAAGACUAAUAUUUGAAAGCAACCAAACUAUCUGCUACUAUGUGCAAUUGCAAGAAGCAAAUCAUAUUUACACAUA